GAUGAACGCUGGCGGCGUGCUUAACACAUGCAAGUCGAACGGAAAGGCUCCUGCUUGCAGGGGUACUCGAGUGGCGAACGGGUGAGUAACACGUGGGUGAUCUGCCCUUCACUUCGGGAUAAGUCUGGGAAACUGGGUCUAAUACCGGAUAGGACCACAUUUUGGAUGGUGUGGUGGAAAGUUUUUCGGUGUGGGAUGAGGUCGCGGCCUAUAAGCUUGUUGUUGGGGUAAUGGCCUACUAAGGGGUCGACGGGUAGACGGCCUGUGAGGGGGUUGGGCCACAUAUGGGGUGGGAUACGGGGCAGACUCCUACGGGAGGGAGAGGUGGGGGGUAUAGUGCAAUAGGGGCGGAACUGAGGCAGCGACGCGGCGUGGGGGAUGACGGGGUUCGGGUUGUGAACUCCUGUCGCGAGGGACGAGGCGUGUUUGUGACGGUAACUGGUGAAGAAGCACCGGCUAACUACGUG
rnacentral:rRNA from 1 species